rnacentral:lncRNA from 1 species
AGACCGUGGUUCUUGCAAGUUUGACAAGUCGAAAAUUGCUGCUUCAGUUCAAAACUUCAGUGUUAUCUCCACUAAUGAAGAUCAAAUUGCUGCAAACCUUGUGAAACAUGGCCCUCUUGCAAGUAGGUGAUCUUAGUCCAAGUUUCAUGUCAUUAUCUGGUUGAAUUAGGAAAACUAUCUGCAUUAAUAGCUUUUUACAAGUCACUAGGAAUAGGUAGUCAAUUAAAAAAAAGACUCACCUUCUUUAUUCUUGUGUUUGGUUUUCAUUUGUGCCUUGAUCUCCUAUCACGGGCUACAACCUUUAUAAGACAACCAAUGACUGAUCACUGAUGAUGGAGAAAUCAACACAUUAUGUAGGGCGGAUAACAAAUGACACAUUGUGAUGAAUUAACAUUUAGUUUUACUCCAUUUUUUCCAUGUUUCAUAUGAUGAUGGGAUUGUUACUCAUGUCUGUCAUCCUUGUUGCAGUUGGUAUAAAUUCAGUGUUCAUGCAAACAUAUAUAGGAGGUGUCUCAUGCCCUUAUAUUUGUGGAAGGCAUUUGGAUCAUGGUGUGCUCCUGGUGGGCUAUGGUUCUGCUGGUUAUUCACCAAUUCGCCUAAAGGACAAGCCCUUCUGGAUCAUAAAGAACUCCUGGGGUGAAAACUGGGGAGAGCAUGGCUACUACAAGAUCUGCAGGG